UCAGGACGAACGCUGGCGGCGUGCCUAAUACAUGCAAGUAGAACGCUGAGGACUGGUGCUUGCACUGGUNUAAGGAGUUGCGAACGGGUGAGUAACGCGUAGGUAACCUACCUCAUAGCGGGGGAUAACUAUUGGAAACGAUAGCUAAUACCGCAUGACAAUAGGGUACACAUGUACGUAAUUUAAAAGGGGCAAAUGCUUCACUAUGAGAUGGACCUGCGUUGUAUUAGCUAGUUGGUAAGGUAACGGCUUACCAAGGCGACGAUACAUAGCCGACCUGAGAGGGUGAUCGGCCACACUGGGACUGAGACACGGCCCAGACUCCUACGGGAGGCAGCAGUAGGGAAUCUUCGGCAAUGGGGGGAACCCUGACCGAGCAACGCCGCGUGAGUGAAGAAGGUUUUCGGAUCGUAAAGCUCUGUU
rnacentral:rRNA from 1 species